AUUGAACGCUGGCGGCGUGCCUAACACAUGCAAGUCGAGCGGUAACAGGUGUAGCAAUACAUGCUGACGAGCGGCGAACGGGUGAGUAAUGCUUCGGAAUCUACCCAAUGGUGGGGAAUAACCAGCCGAAAGGUUGGCUAAUACCGCAUACGUCCCACGGGAGAAAGCAGGGGAUCGCAAGACCUUGCGCCAAUGGAUGAGCCGAAGUCGGAUUAGCUAGNGGUAGGGUAACGGCCUACCAAGGCGACGAUCCGUAGCUGGUCUGAGAGGACGACCAGCCACACUGGGACUGAGCACGGCCCAGACUCCUACGGGAGGCAGCAGUGGGAAUAUGGACAAUGGGGGAAACCCUGAUCCAGCGACGCCGCGUGUGUGAAGAAGGCCUGG
rnacentral:rRNA from 1 species